rnacentral:lncRNA from 1 species
UUGUGGGAGUUGAAUUCGCAAAUAAAUAUAUUGGAUUUUUUGUUCUUUUAAUUUGAGUUAAGAUAUAGGACAUUGUUUAUGUGGAUCUAAUAGGAAGUUUUAGGCCCAUGACGGUUCACUUCUUAUUUAACUUGCGCAUGAAUACAUGUGGUUCCGAAUGACAGAUGAAUGAAUGGUCUUUUUUUACCAAAGAUCCAGCUGAGAUCCCAUGGAUUGAUUUUGGAGGUGAAUACAUUGUUGAAUCUUCUGGUGUUUUCACGACAACAGAAAAGGUAUGCUUUCACUUGAAGGCGUGCUGCACCUUUUUGACAUCCUAAUUUUCCAUAAUUCUGCUUGGUGCAAAAAAGAUGGCAAUAUCAACUCCAUCUGCUGGGACUCCUCUGUUUGUGGUUGGUGUAAAUGAUAAGGCACAGGAACCGAGCAUCGAGUGGUGUCUCUAAUGCAAGCUUUACAACCAUAUUCUCAAAUUGCGGAGGUAGGCUGCUUCAUAAUAUGUUCCUCUUGCCAACUAUCUUUUUUGUUGUUUGCCAAAUGUAUGAAAACUGAAGGUUUUUUGCUUUUGUUUGUCUAAUGUUUUGACAG